rnacentral:lncRNA from 1 species
AGCUACUCCAUGCUUGAUAUGCUGUGUGUGGUGUUACUAUGGUGGCCAGUGGUUGAAAUUAGAGCACGGCCCCCCCCCCCUCCCCCCCCCCAAGCAUUCCAGGUGAAAUAAGCUUGUUGUGUCAUCAUCUCAAUCACACAGUGAUUCGUCUGGUUAACUUUAACCAGGACCAGUCAUUGCUCUUUGUAUAUCGUCUCAGGGUGCCAAGUGUUUUAUUUCUCCAUUUCUGAAUUUGGAGCAGACCUUUGUAACUUUAGCUGGUUUUGUUUUGCUUUGAUGUUUUUGGCUUUGCUUUGAGUGUGUGAAAGUAUAGCUUUAAACUCUGGUUUUAUAUUCCCGAAGCUUAUUUCUACCAAUGCAAAUACUGUGUAAUGAGCUUGGCCCGAUACAGAUCUACCCCAUCAAGAGACUGCAGAGAGUACACAGUACAUUGGAGUACAAAUAUGAAUAAUUGAAUUAUGUUUUGGUAAUACGUUUAGUUAUUAGUUGGAUUUCCCUCCUUACAAGCCAAACACACAACAACAACAAAAAAUCCAUGUAAUUUGAUUUGUUAACUGGCUUUGGUUAUUAGUUGGUGGAUAUUUGUUGUAAAGCUAGGUGCAUUGAAUGCAUUAUCUUUUUAAAACACUUUUGUGCUGUGUUAUUUUCUCGUUUAGUUGAACUUUAGUUUGUUUUAGUUUUUCUGUGCUGCUUCUGUGAAAGAAACACUGUCUCUCCAACUCCAAGGGUUGUUGUUUUGAAAAGAUGAACAAAACUUUCCUUUUUCACAAAUUGCUCAACUUUAUAAUACAGUAUACUGGUAUCCUGAUUACAUGCACAGGCUGAGACCAUUUUAGGAGUAAAAGAAAAGUUAAAUAUGUUUACAAAAAGGUGUGUUUAUUCAAUUUGCCAUGUAUAUAGAAAUUGGUAGGUUAAAAUUGGACUGUUUCGUGUUUUUACAUUUGUAAACAGAAAACGAUGUGUUUCCUCAACUUGUCUUUUCAUUCAGCUGGGGAUGUUUCAGAGUUACAUGGAUACAAGUGCACCUCCGAUUUUUGCCUUAGAACUUGCAGAGGCCAUAGUUCACAUUCAAGUGACGUGAGUGUAUGCAGGGGCCUACGCCCCCCAUUUCUGAGUAACCACCAGUGCGGACUUUCUCACACUUAUCUACCUGUGAAAUCCUUCAUACCUCUCAUAAUUGGUCAAUGACUGUAUCAGCAAACUGCAUCAGGUGGGUUUUUUUUACAUGCUUUUUACACAGAUUAUAUGGAUUAUUGUAUUAGUAGAUUUUGGUGCAUCAUUUUUUUAUGUAAUAACUCUUAAGCUUGUAGUCACAAAGUUGUUUUUCUCUCUCGUUUUUCUAGAAGACUGUUUUGUGUUAAUAUUGUCAAUUUGAAAUAACUGUUAUUUGCUUAUUCUCUACUUACCUUGUUCAUUUUCAAAUGCUACACAGCCCUAAUGAAUUAAAAUGACUUAAUAACCAUUGUAAAUACAGUGUUGUGUAAACCCCAUUUUCAUUCGUUUCAAUUGCUAGUGUUAUAUAAAUGACAUUUUUGUCUAGACACCAUUUCUGUUUAUGAAAUAAAGAAACAUAUCAUGUACAUUAUUUUUGUCAUUUUCUU